AAUUUAGCACCGUGUGUAACCUGGGAGCGCCUGAGGGGAGAACAAGCCAUCAGGAGAGGAAAGGCCGAGGGCUGAGGGUGGGACCCGUCAGUUUUGGGUUUUUCCUUGAAUUCCGAGUUACUCCCAGCCCAAGGGCUCCUGAACGAUCCCUCAGCUUCUUUGGGGGUGGUUUGUUUGGCUUUUUUGUUGUUGUUUUGGCAGGCAGUGGAAGCCGUGGAAGCUGAAGCCAGGCGGAGCAGAAGGCCCAAAUUCCCCCUGCUCCUCCCAGAUGGAUUCACCAGCCCUCCUCACAUUCCCAUGGAAGUGUUCCUAUGGAGGGCAUCCAGAUUUAUGACAAAUUCCACUCGUUUCCAGCCAAACAGGGAUCCUCUCCGGGGACGUGGGAUUUGGGGAGAUGUCCUGAGAGCAGAAAUUCUGGGGAAACUGUGACAUCAGAUGGCUGUAGGUGACAUUAUGAUGCCAUGCAGAAGAUGGCAACACCAGAAUUCAGAAGCACAGUGUCCCACCUGACACAAAAACGAGUUUAUCUUUGCAGAAUUACCCUCAGCUUUAAAAAAAAAAACCAAAAAAACCCCAGAAAAUAUGGGCCACAGCAGCAGAAUAAUCUCAAAACAGGAUGUUCCUAAAGUUUCCAUCGAGGAUCAGCUGCUUUUUAAUUAGUCACCAGAGGGACAGAGAAGAAAGUUGCUAAUUAUGAGAACAUCAUAAGAAUGUAAACACUGUGGCCCAGUUUUAUGAUGGCAACACCUUUCUGUGGAUGCAAGGCUGAGCCUGGAUUGGCUAAUGAAUGGAAAAAUAUUGGGAUUUUUUCUGAACAACUCACGAAGAGGCAUCUGCAGUUAUAAAAUCAACCAUUUCCUUUGGAAAAAGAAUGGAAAUAUUUGACAAAAAUCCCUUCAGGAUUGGUUGUUUGGGUUUAUUUUGUUUUCGAUUUAUUUUUUUGUUUUCUUUUUAAAUUUAUCCCAGGAAUAAUCAAAAUGUGCAGUUUUUUUGAAAGAGAAAUCCUAAAUCAAGAUGGCUUUAUUGAAAACUGUUGGUACUCUCAGCAUUUUAUGAUGCCUGAAAUCUUCUUCUUCCCAGCUGCUUUUGUUUGCUGGUUCUGCCUUUUAAAAGGAUUCUGUGAUUCUAUGGGUGAUUAAGGCAGAUAAUGAGCUCCACUCAAGUUUGUGCCCCGGGAAAUAAAAAGAGAAGCAGGGAAGGUGCCUGAGGUGUU
rnacentral:lncRNA from 1 species